CUUCUAUUCUGGGUUGAUAAACCUAAACCAAAUCCAUGGAAGACAUGUUUCAGACGAUUACGUGGGGUUUAAACGAGCCUCGUCACUCUCAGAAGCGCCCCACCGAAAGCUACUCUGAAGAUGGUGAAGAGGAUUGCAAAUCAGCUUCUACGUCGCUGCAAGAAUGGGAUCAUAUAUUCUCCCAAAUGUAUCCUCCCAACUGGGUUCGGGGCCAAAAUCAACCUGCAAUAAGCAGUGGAGUUGUCCCAAGCCAGAUCAGUAAUGUUAGCAGUCCCCAAACAUUUCAAUCUCCAGACAUUUCCACCGGUUCAGUUUUGAAACGGAACGUUUCAAGUUUACAUGGAUCAGAACGAGCUCAGAGGAAAAGGAAAAUAGAUCAGGCAUAUCGGGCAAGGUGUAAGAAUCUCAAAAUGGAAAUGCAAUUGAAUAUGGAGAACCUCAAAGGAGAAAAUGAUUCUUUAAUGAAAGAGAAUGAAUCCUUAAAAGAUGCUAAUUCUCUGAUGAAUCAAACUUUGAAAGAUCAAGAAAAAGAGAUUGAGCAAUUGAAGAGUGAUCUUCUUCAGAUUAAGUGCGAGUAUGAAAAGCAAAAUGUCCUUGUGCAAACACUUUCGGGCCUUUUAGCUGAUCCAAUGAGUCUCGAAAACAAGAAGUUAAAAGAUGAAAAUGCAUCAUUGAGGAAGAAUGCCAAUCUUAACAAUAACUUACCACAACUUGCAGAGGAGAAUGCAAAGUUAAGAACUGAAAAUAAAGUACUCAAGGUGCAGAAUGAUGCUUUAUGUGGGAAGAUUAUCAGUGACCAUGAAAAGAAGUGUAAACAAGAUCAGUAAGCUAAAUUACUAAGAAGAAUUGAAGAUAAGCCCCUUCUUCUUUCUCAGUUGAUGAUAUGUGCUGUAUUUUAUUUCAUAGCACAGCUCAUCGUUCUUUUUCCUUUUUUCGUCUUCAUCUGCAUGCACAUGUGGCUACUUAUCUUCCAACAGCAGUUUAGCUUUCUUGCCCUUGGUCUCGCUACUUUUCUACAUCAUUUAGUUAGAUUUUCCAUUGAUAAUCUCCUUUGAUCCCUUUUCUCUUCUUGUUUCCGCACUUGUCGUGUCUUCUUUCUUGUGCUCUCCCCUCUCUCACCUGCCUGCAAUGGGAUGGUCUACCUUUAUCUCUUUUACCCUCUUGUUUUCACACUUUUGUAUCGUCCCUUUUGUGCUAUCCCCUUUCUCACUUGCCUGCAACUGGAGUCCAGAAUCCGGGAAAAGAAAACAGAUAUGGCUUUCUGAGUACUGAUUUCAUGGGUGUAUCGCUGGCGGACAGGUAGAUGGACAAUUCAAAGGAUUACUCUAACAAUAGCACCCUUCUCAAGUUCUCAUGUAUCUCUGCUGCGGGUGUGUACAGCUUUCGGCACCUAGUUACCCCAUCUGGAACCAGUUUUGCCACUGCUUUGUUGCCUUCCCUGUGAACGUGCAUCGUCUUCACUUCCCAAUUUCUAGCUAUCAGGUCCUCAAUGUGGUGUUUAACUGUAAGUUACAUUGCUGGAGUGGUCCAGUCGGGUCAUGUUUUUCCAGACUUGGUUGUCAACCUCUAGAAUGAUCUGCCUUGCUCCCAGUUCCCAUGCAAUCGUGAGCCCUUCGAAAACUCCCCAGAAUUCAGCUUCAAGCUCCGAGCAUGCCCCAAUCUGCUCGUGAAAACCCAUCUCCCAUUGACCUCUGAUGUUUCUAAUUAAUCCUCCACAUGUAGCCAUUUCAUUACUCGACUCUCGCCCCAUCCGUGUUUAUCUUUGACCAACCUGUUGCCGGCGGUGUCCAACUCGUUUCAUGUCUAGGCUUAAUUCCUGCAUUGGCUCGAAUAUCUCGCGCCACUGCCUCAGCUCUUUCGGUUUCUGCCACCGGUCUUCGACUUCGCUCGAUUAUUGAUUAUCUUUCGAUAUUUUCCGGAUCAAUAAUGCAUUCCAAAUAAUACGUCCCGGGCUUCCUUGUUUCUUGGAAAAUAGGUAGGGUUGGCCAGGUUCUUGUGCAACCAGUCUUUCAUAUUUAGAGUGAAGAAUUCUACCCAUUUCUCUUCUUUGAUGAGCGGCAGCCAUAUUGAUUUUGUCAUCGGGCAUUUUCGUAGAAUAUGAUCCGCAUCUUCGAACUCUCUCACAAUCACAUUGUAUACAUCCUUCCUCGGUGGACAUAUGUUUUUAUUGGUUGCGGUCCUCUAAAUUUCUCAGUUAUGUUAAAUUUUGUUGCUGGUUAUUGUACUAUGCUUAAGUUGUGGAUUUAA